CCAGACUCCUACGGGAGGCAGCAGUGGGGAAUAUUGCACAAUGGGGGAAACCCUGAUGCAGCAACGCCGCGUGAGUGAAGAAGUAUUUCGGUAUGUAAAGCUCUAUCAGCAGGGAAGAAGAUGACGGUACCUGAGUAAGAAGCCCCGGCUAACUACGUGCCAGCAGCCGCGGUAAUACGUAGGGGGCAAGCGUUAUCCGGAUUUACUGGGUGUAAAGGGAGCGUAGACGGUGAGACAAGUCUGAAGUGAAAGCCCGGGGCUCAACCCCGGGACUGCUUUGGAAACUGCCUGACUGGAGUGCUGGAGAGGCAAGCGGAAUUCCUAGUGUGGCGGUGAAAUGCGUAGAUAUUAGGAGGAACACCGGCGGCGAAGGCGGCCUGCUGGACCGAAACUGACGUUGAGGCUCGAAAGCGUGGGGAGCAAACAGGAUUAGAUACCCCCGUA
rnacentral:rRNA from 1 species